rnacentral:lncRNA from 1 species
AUGCCAAGGAGACAAAUAUGUAGAGUUACCAGCUGAGGAAGAAUCAACAUUCUCUUCAGCAACUGACCUGAACAAGGCAGAUGUGUCUUCUUCCUCCACACUUUGUUCAGACUUGCCUUCAUGUGACAUGCUGCACGGUUACCCUCCAGCUUUCAACUCUGCUGCUGGAAGCAUCAUGCCAACAACAUACAUCUCAGUCACUCCAAAAAUUGGCAUGGGUAAACCAGCUAUUACCAAAAGAAAAUUUUCUCCUGGUAGACCCCGGUCCAAACAGGUAGGGUGAUGUUAAUGAUGACAGAAAAGAUAUUGCAGAUAUCAUUUAAAAUGGGAAGGAUACAUUUAGCUUUGGUUGACUUUUCAUCCAUAGAACUCAGUUUUAAUGUUUCUGUUUGGGAAGGAGUGCAUUAUUUAAAAAAAUAUGCUCUUAACUGAGAAUGUAAUUUAUUAAACUUCAGGAUAUAAAAAUAUGAUCUAUUUGAUUAUAGUAUCUAUAGAAAACAAUUUUAAAGAUGGUUUUAGUUCCAAAGUAAUCUUAGAACUUUAAAAACACAGUGUAAGAUUAUGUCUAUGGUAAUAACAUUUACUUUCCCUGCAAUACAUUUAUUGUUGACAUAUAUGUAUUAUAUUAACCUCACAAAUAGAAAUUUUAUGCUGAAUAGUUUCUCAUUUUGAUGUUUGUUUCUGUAUAUAAAUGCUGUCUUUUGUAAAAUUAUUUUUCAAGAUAGGAUUUACUUCAGUAAUCUUAAAUAAAACAGUCUUAAAAUGUGCUGCUGUUCUACAGCAUGUAAGGGACACCUCUUGAAUGUGAUAGGUAGACACUCUGACCUGAAUUGCACACUGUGUGCUUCCAGAGCUCUUACUGUAGGGCUCAGACCCCUGUGGAUUGACCAUCCUACUCUGAGCCUUCCCUGUGCUAGGAGUCUAAGCUGCUUUUCUUUGUUGGGCUUUGUCAUUGUUCUCAAGUAAUAUAGAUUCUAUAUUUUAGGGGUGAAUUACAGUUCUUUCUAAGUACAUUAAAGUGAGACUACUAAAAUUAAGAUAAUCCUGCUUAGAAUUAUUUGUUGUUCUACAUAAUGGCUGCUUUCUGAUAUCAAACAGUAGGGAUGAACUUAGUUUGUAGUAUUUGCUUGGAAUUGUAAGUCUUAUAAUUUAAGUUGAUCCCAGUAAUUACUUGACUUUUCAAUAGUGGUAAUAUAUUAAUAUUAAACAGUUAACUUUGGAGCUGUAAAGGCAUUAUAAAAAAAUCUGCUUUUACUGAUUUGUCUCCUGAAUAAAUCCUAUGUAUUUUUUAUUUUUUAAAGUUAAAUUACACCAAAGGCAAAGGGACUAGCUCUUGCUCUAUGGGAAAGACGUUUUCAGUGAACAGUAGUGUGUGUCUUUCUAUCUGUUCAUAUAGGUCAGAGAGUGCCAGUGAUCAAACUCAGGACAUUGUGCUUGCCCUUCGCCCUGUGUGUGUGUGUUUCCAUGUCUUUGUGUGUCUUAAAUAUGUUGUUUGUCAUUUAGCUUCUAUCAUCCCAUGAGGCUUUUUUUUCCUCUUCACAAACUACUUCCUUCUACCUCCUAUCUUCAUGUUGUUUUGUUAAGUUAGCUGUAUAACAGUUAUAUAGUUCUCUGUCUCAUAUUGGUUCCUAUGGUUUUGCAUCCUGUGAAGAUACUGCAUUAUAAACAGUAUAAACAGUUGUGGGAGGAAUUCUGACUAUUGCCCAUGUUGGCCUGCAACUCCUUCUAUUCCACCUCUAGCCUCAAGACUGAUGGGAUUACGGAUGUGAGUCUCCAGCAUUAUGUCAUGCUCCACCCUAGGCUAACUGAAACAGCCUCUGAGGCUCCCGUUUGACUGGGAUAGAGAUGGAUGCUUUGCUUUCUUUGCUCUGCUUUGUUUGUUAGUUUUGUAAUGUGCUGAACAGAAUACUCUGGGAAAAGCUUUUUAGGAAGUUGUGGGAAGUAGGAUGGAAAGAUUCUAAUUGCUCAAAUCCCUUGCCUGUUUACCUUUCAGCCUGUUUUAUUUUUCACAUCCCACAGUCCUUUGCUUGGUUUUUCUUGGUUUUUAAAAUUGCUUCUUGAUUCAGGAUCUUUCUGUAUAGCCAGAGCUGCCCUUGAGCUUAGGGUUAUCAUCCUGCCCUGCUUCUGCUUCCUAAGUGCUGGGGUUAUAGGCAUGUACUUGUCUGCUUUAGUUUAUAAAUUCUGAAAUAACAGUAAUCUUAAAUCAUUUUUUCAAAAGUGUGUGUGUUGCAUGUAUAUGUAUAAAGCCCUUUGCAAUGCUGAGCUGAAGGCACAUGCAAACUAGAAACACCAAACUUUUUGUUUCCUUGUGCUGGUUCUAAAGCUAUUCCCUCAAUCUUGGCUAAAGCAGCCAUAAUUGUAUUCAGAAACUAUUGAAUACUAAACUGGGUGACUUUACUCUAACAGUGCCUUAUCAAUCACAAUCAUGUCUAAUUUCUUAAUCUGAUUAGAAUUGGGCUUUAUUGUUCUUUCUUUGAAAUAGGAUCUCAUGCUAUAACCCUUCCUGGCCUGGAGUGUACUAUGUAGACCAGGCUGGCAUUCAACUGAUAGAUCCUUCUCCAUCUUCUUUCCAAUGCAGAAUUAAAGGCUGUGAGACCACUUGAGGCUGACCUUGGGUUUUUAGAGAGAGAACAGGUGUUUUAUGUAAAAAGACUGCUAUAAGUCAUAAGGACAAGGUAUUGUUAUAAUAUCAUCUGCAUAAUUGAGCAAGUAUGUUUACCAAAAGACAUCUGGCAACUUUUAUUAUUUAGAAGUGUGAACUUGCCUGUGACGUUCCACACCCUCUCUGGUUGUUCAUCCCUUGAGUCACCUGGCAAUAGUGUUGAUUUACUGUAUUUGUUUUUCUCUUUUCUUUGCUUUCUUCUCUUCCCUUUUUGGAGGUAAGUGGGUGGUAAGGUACUCUAGAGCCUACACUGUCCUCAAACUUGGAGUAUUCUUGUCUUACUUUUACAGCCUCCUAAAGCUGAGAUUAGAUUGACUUUAAAUAGAAAGCUGGACAUAAUAUUAUUUCCACUUAUCAUUGUCCCCCUUUUCUAUCAUACAGCCCUGUAAAUACCUACAUUAUAUAUUUAUAAUUUUUGUAUUCUUUGUAGCCAGUUCAAUCUUUGUUGCAGAUUAUCCAUAAUCUCUAUUGGAUUUCAAAGCAGCUGGGUUCUAUGUAGUUCUUCUCAAUUUUCAGUUCCUUAAUGUUUUAUAUUUGGACUAUUGCUAUUUAUUCUAGUUGUAGAUAGCUUAAUAGUAGUAGCAUUGUAUUGUGGAUUAGGUUUUUUUUUUUUUUUUGGAGGUAAGGAAAUCUAAGAUUUGGGACAACUGGAUGAGCUUAGUGUGUUUGAUUGUACAGUGCAAUGUUUAUUGAUGAAUUAUUUCAUGCCCACAUGCAUGCAAAAAUAUAAUGGAAGAGAAAAAUAGUGCUUAGUAGUUGUUGAACAGAACACUUGACACAAUAAAGAACAAAAAUAGGGGAAAAAAACCCCAUAACCUGUUCUUGUGCUUAUAGUCCAAUCCAGGUAGUUGCAGUGAUGAUACCUGUAGGCAGAACAUAAUGCAGAAGGCAAGCAUGUAUCUGUCAGUGGCAGCUCACCUCUUCUCAGUGCUGUAUGUUAAGUUCUUAUUCUUCAAAGCUGGGGUCUAAAGGAUGAUGCAUAACUGAAUUUUGACAAUUACAACAGUAUUUUCAGUUUUAAGGUCUAAAGAUAUAUUAGGUAAUUUUUUUCUUUGUCAGAAUACAUACAUGAUUUUUCAUUAGUUCCUUUUAAAAUUGAAUAUAAUCUAUCUUCUUAUGCCCUAUGAUUAUACACUUAUUAAAAUUCAUUAGGCAACUAUCAAGUUUUUAUUAUAUAAAUUCUUCAUAGCAGCCAAGUAGUUUCCUAAUUAUUCCUGUAUUGACACCCAGAUUUUCUUGGUUUUGUAAGCUCUUUAAUUUGUUCAUCCAUGUUAUAUGAAAUGUAAAUACUAUUUGAAAUGGGAUACAAUUUUGGCAUCAAAACUAAUGUAAAUUAUGAUGAAUAAAACAUAAUCACC